CCUACGGGAGGCAGCAGUGGGGAAUCUUGCGCAAUGGGCGAAAGCCUGACGCAGCAACGCCGCGUGCGGGAAGAAGGCUUUCGGGCUGUAAACCGCUUUCAGCAGGAACGAAAAUGACGGCACCUGCAGAAGAAGGAGCGGCCAACUAUGUGCCAGCAGCCGCGGUGAUACAUAGGCUUCAAGCGUUGUCCGGAUUUAUUGGGCGUAAAGAGUUCGUAGGCGGUCGAGUAAGUCGGGUGUGAAAAUUCUGGGCUCAACCCAGAGACGCCACCCGAUACUGCUUAACUUGAGUUCGAUAGGGGAGUGGGGAAUUCCUAGUGUAGCGGUGAAAUGCGCAGAUAUUAGGAGGAACACCGGUGGCGAAGGCGCCACUCUGGAUCGAUACUGACGCUGAGGAACGAAAGCAUGGGUAGCAAACAGGAUUAGAUACCCUGGUAGUCCAUGCCGUAAACGGUGGGCACUAGGUGUGGGAUUCUAUUAACGAAUUCCGCGCCGUCGCUAACGCAUUAAGUGCCCCGCCUGGGGGAGGUACGGUCGCGAGACUAAACUAACUAANAGUAGUAGCGNGAGAGAGCGACGACGACGACGAGGAGGAGGAG
rnacentral:rRNA from 1 species